GAUGAACGCUGGCGGCGUGCCUAAUACAUGCAAGUCGAGCGAACAGACGAGGAGCUUGCUCCUCUGACGUUAGCGGCGGACGGGUGAGUAACACGUGGAUAACCUACCUAUAAGACUGGGAUAACUUCGGGAAACCGGAGCUAAUACCGGAUAAUAUAUUGAACCGCAUGGUUCAAUAGUGAAAGACGGUUUUGCUGUCACUUAUAGAUGGAUCCGCGCCGCAUUAGCUAGUUGGUAAGGUAACGGCUUACCAAGGCGACGAUGCGUAUCCGACCUGAGAGGGUGAUCGGCCACACUGGAACUGAGACACGGUCCAGACACCUACGGGAGGCAGCAGUAGGGAAUCUUCCGCAAUGGGCGAAAGCCUGACGGAGCAACGCCGCGUGAGUGAUGAAGGUCUUCGGAUCGUAAAACUCUGUUAUUAGGGAAGAACAAAUGUGUAAGUAACUAUGCACGUCUUGACGGUACCUAAUCAGAAAGCCACGGCUAACUACGUG
rnacentral:rRNA from 1 species